CUAUACAUGACUCUGCGCAUAUCAAUAAGCGGAGGAAAAGAAACUAACAAGGAUUCCCCUAGUAACGGCGAGUGAAGCGGGAAGAGCUCAAAUUUGAAAUCUUAAUGGGUUUCCCUUUACGAAUUGUAGUUUAAAGAAGUGUUUUCUGUUGAGGUUUUGGUAAAAGUUCUUUGGAAUAGGACAUCAUAGAGGGUGAGAAUCCCGUAUUUGACCUUUACUUUCAACUUUGUGAUACACUUUCAAAGAGUCGGAUUGUUUGGGAAUGCAGUCCAAAAUGGGUGGUAAAUUUCAUCUAAAGCUAAAUAUUGGCGAGAGACCGAUAGCGAACAAGUACCGUGAGGGAAAGAUGAAAAGAACUUUGAAAAGAGAGUUAAACAGUACGUGAAAUUGUCAAAAGGGAAGCGUUUGACACCAGUGUUGUUUUUCUGAAAAUCAAUUAAAGAACUGUUUAUGCUAAGUUGUUUAGACUUUAUCAGCUAACUGUUUAGUUUUGAGCUUUUCUUUAAUGCACUUUUCAGUUAACAAGUCAACAUCAAUUUCUUUUGCUGUAAAAAAGCUUGAGGAAGGUGGCUUGAGAUUCGUCUUAAGUGUUUAUAGCCUCUUGCCUAUGCAGUCGGAGAGAUUGAGGUCUGCAGCGUAGAUCCUUCGGGGCUAAAUGCAUUUGUGCUAAGUUAUAGCAUUUUAUAGACAACUUGUUGACUAUGAUUUGUCUUGUAGCUUACUCGCUUAUGUUAUUUUACCUACGCUUAGGAUGUUGACAGCAGUAUAGACUGU
rnacentral:rRNA from 1 species